CACGGUCCAGACUCCUACGGGAGGCAGCAGUGGGGAAUAUUGCACAAUGGGCGCAAGCCUGAUGCAGCCAUGCCGCGUGUAUGAAGAAGGCCUUCGGGUUGUAAAGUACUUUCAGCGGGGAGGAAGGUGUUGAGGUUAAUAACCUCGGCAAUUGACGUUACCCGCAGAAGAAGCACCGGCUAACUCCGUGCCAGCAGCCGCGGUAAUACGGAGGGUGCAAGCGUUAAUCGGAAUUACUGGGCGUAAAGCGCACGCAGGCGGUCUGUCAAGUCGGAUG
rnacentral:rRNA from 1 species